UACGUAGGGUCCGAGCGUUGUCCGGAAUUACUGGGCGUAAAGAGCUCGUAGGUGGUUUGUCGCGUUGUUCGUGAAAACUCACAGCUCAACUGUGGGCGUGCGGGCGAUACGGGCAGACUAGAGUACUGCAGGGGAGACUGGAAUUCCUGGUGUAGCGGUGGAAUGCGCAGAUAUCAGGAGGAACACCGGUGGCGAAGGCGGGUCUCUGGGCAGUAACUGACGCUGAGGAUCGAAAGCGUGGGGAGCGAACAGG
rnacentral:rRNA from 1 species